CUUUGAAUGAAUCUGACUCUGGUUUUUGGUUUUGCUUUAAGGGCGAGGAGGAGAAAUUCCUCAGAAUAAUGAAAAUGAUGGAGCCUCUGAUCAACCUCAAGAUCUUCAGUGGCUCCAGAUUAUCAAGAUGCUAGUCGAUAAUAUACCAGAAGGCCUCAGUGCUUGGAUUGCCCAGUUAAUCAAAGUAGUAAAGCCCAUGCUAGAGCAGUUACGAGGACUUCUGAAG